GGCACAAACGCGACACUAUAUUGACUGCAUCUUCACCACCUGUUCAAUGUUUGGAGGGAAUUCAUGAGGAGUGAUGCUUUCACCAUCUCAUGACCACCACUUGCCUAAGAUGCGACAGUCAUACCUGCCCCCUAGCGAGCACGCGUGCCUGAGAUGCCACAAUCUUCCCUGCCUCGUACCAAGCAUGUGCCUUAGAUGUCACAACCUUCUCCAUCUCAUCAGGAGCAACAACCUAAUGCAGACCUAAUACAAGAACAAAAAGUGCCUCUAGAAAAAGUUAAUGCACAAGAAGGUGCCCAUGAGGAGACAAAAUUUAAAAAAAAACAUCUAAUCACCAUAAGGCCAAUUUAUACGCCGAUGACAAAUGUCACGUCGAUGUCCAAGUGGUACACCCAUGAUCAGUUCACGACUGAGAACUGAGAAGUCGUAGCACCUAAGGAGGCUGUCAACAGCAACGAUAGACUAACAAAGAAGUAUCCAAAUUUAAUGCCAUCAAAUGGUCAAAGCAUUGCUCAGAAACCUAUGAAGAGCCAAGCCCUUCCUACAGAACAGAGACAUCCAAUGCCUCUCACUUGGAAUUAAAAGGUUACAUGAUUGGCACUUGCUCGCAAACACAUUUGGAGGCCCAAAAGGGGAAAUUAUCUUUUACUUCAGUGACAUCGAGACAAUGGUUUCACCUCAGAGAAAUGGAAAUGAAUCUAGUUUGGACGUGGUGCCUGUAAGUCCUUGCCGUGAUUCUAAUCUUUGGAUUUUUGUUGUAUCUAACCCAUGCCAUGAUUUGUAGAAAGCAAGUGCAUAUUUCAAAACAAUUGCCAAUUGUGCGAUCAGGGUACGUAGAACCUGAAUGUAUAGUAUAGCCAAACUUCAAUUACACCAAAGAAUGAUGGCAAAGAGCUAGCUGCUGGAAACAACAUUGAGGAGAAAGAGGCAAUCGGGUAGAAGGAAAUAAGGGAGGUGUCCCUUAAGGUUGCGGCAUACAUUUUCCUAUCCUUUUAAGAUCUCCAAAAUAAUAAUGCUAUGUGGCUGCCAUACAACUUCGAAUAAGUUGAACUAUAUACUUAAAGCUUUAAGAAUACAAAUUAAUUAUUUUGUUUGAUGCAAAAGUGCUUCUCGGUU
rnacentral:lncRNA from 1 species